rnacentral:rRNA from 1 species
CAUAUCAAUAAGCGGAGGAAAAGAAACCAACAGGGAUUGCCCUAGUAACGGCGAGUGAAGCGGCAACAGCUCAAAUUUGAAAUCUGGCUCUUUCAGGGUCCGAGUUGUAAUUUGCAGAGGGCGCUUUGGCGUUGGCAGCGGUCCAAGUUCUUUGGAACAGGACGUCACAGAGGGUGAGAAUCCCGUACGUGGUCGCUAGCCUUCGCCGUGUAAAGCCCCUUCGACGAGUCGAGUUGUUUGGGAAUGCAGCUCUAAAUGGGAGGUAAAUUUCUUCUAAAGCUAAAUACUGGCCAGAGACCGAUAGCGCACAAGUAGAGUGAUCGAAAGAUGAAAAGCACUUUGGAAAGAGAGUCAAAUAGCACGUGAAAUUGUUGAAAGGGAAGCGCUUGCAGCCAGACUUGCCUGUAGUUGCUUAUCCGGACUUUUGUCCGGUGCACUCUUCUGCGGGCAGGCCAGCAUCAGUCUAGGCGGUUGGAUAAAGGUCUCUGUCAUGUACCUCUCUUCGGGGAGGCCUUAUAGGGGAGACGACAUGCAACCAGCCUGGACUGAGGUCCGCGCAUCUGCUAGGAUGCUGGCGUAAUGGCUGUAAGCGGCCCGUCUUGAAACACGGACCAAGGAGUCUAACAUCUAUGCGAGUGUUUGGGUGUCAAGCCCAGACGCGUAAUGAAAGUGAACGGAGGUGGGAACCCUUUGGGUGCACCAUCGACCGAUCCUGAUGUCUUCGGAUGGAUUUGAGUAAGAGCAUGGCUGUUGGGACCCGAAAGAUGGUGAACUAUGCUUGAAUAGGGUGAAGCCAGAGGAAACUCUGGUGGAGGCUCGCAGCGGUUCUGACGUGCAAAUCGAUCGUCAAAUUUGGGCAUAGGGGCGAAAGACUAAUCGAAC